rnacentral:rRNA from 1 species
AGUGAACGCUGGCGGUAGGCCUAACACAUGCAAGUCGAACGGCAGCACAGGAGAGCUUGCUCUCUGGGUGGCGGGUGGCGGACGGGUGAGGAAUACAUCGGAAUCUACUCUGUCGUGGGGGAUAACGUAGGGAAACUUACGCUAAUACCGCAUACGACCUACGGGUGAAAGCAGGGGAUCUUCGGACCUUGCGCGAUUGAAUGAGCCGGUGUCGGAUUAGCUAGUUGGCGGGGUAAAGGCCCACCAAGGCGACGAUCCGUAGCUGGUCUGAGACGACGAGCAGCCCCACUGGAACUGAGACGCGGUCCAGACUCCUACGGGAGGCAGCAGUGGGGAAUAUCGGACAAUGGGCGCAAGCCUGAUCCAGCCAUACCGCGUGGGGUAAGAAGGCCUUCGGGUUGUAAAGCCCUUUUGUUGGGAAAGAAAUCCAGCUGGCUAAUACCCGGUUGGGAUGACGGUACCCAAAGAAUAAGCACCGGCUAACUUCGUGCCAGCAGCCGCCGUAA